ACACUUCAUGCUGGGGACCAUGAAAUGGCAAGUGCACGAGGCCGCUUGUAUACAUGCUGGAAGCUCUGCAUUCUGCCAUUUGUUCACAGAAUCAUUCCCAAUAAAAAGAAAAGUCCAAAAGAAAGGAAUAGACGUUGUCUUCCUGGAGAUGAUAACUCCUCGUACAACCUUAGGGGAUGAUAGAAGAGGAAGAGAGCAAGCUGAAGCCCAUGGGGAAUCUUUAGAUUGAUCUUCUUCAAUAGUCAAAUGGGUUUUGGCCACUAGAUCCUCCCCAGUGUCCGCAGAGGACAACUCCGUGGUUUUAUCUA